CCUAGUCAUUGUCGAAAAGAAAAGAACCCUAUGGUCUGUUGCUUUCAGUUUAGGAAGUAAUCGAUCUAACAUCUCGAGCUUUCCACAAAGCCUAAUAAUUGGCGGUAGAAAAUGCUUAGGUAUCAAAUUAUCGACCUCGUCCACAUGAAGCUGGCUAAGAUAUGGAUGGUUGCAGAUAUUACGGAGUUCCAUAACCGAGUUGUGCACUGACC
rnacentral:misc_RNA from 1 species